CAAGAGGCCUGUUACAGCUUGCUGGCCCCAAACAAUCUGUGCUCUAGCAGGACAGUGUGCCACCCCUUCACAGACUGUGGACGCUGGACGAUGCUGUGCAAAAAUGGAGACAAGCACAGAACACCAUAAUCACAGGCUCCGCAGGAGGCAGCAACCAAAAGGUUAACACAGGACUUAAUGUCCCCGGACUCAAGCUGUGGCCAUUCUGUAUACCCUGACUGUCUCGCUCUGAUCGGUCCCACACAGCUGAAUGGUAUAUCUGAGGUCUGCUCAGCCCCAGUGAUCUUCAGGUCAAGCCUCUACUAAGCUUAUAUUAAAUUACACCAUUCUAUGUUGUUUUACUCUGUUAUAUAAUGGCAGGGUGCCCCAAUUGCCUUUCCAGCAAUGCCUGGUCCCCCG